rnacentral:rRNA from 1 species
UGCGUAGGCGGACUAAUAAGUCAGUGGUGAAAUCUCUCGGCUCAACCGGGAAACUGCCAUUGAUACUGUUAGUCUUGAGUUCGGUUGAGGUAGGCGGAAUGUGUAAUGUAGCGGUGAAAUGCUUAGAUAUUACACAGAACACCAAUUGCGUAGGCAGCUUACUAGACCGACACUGACGCUGAGGCACGGAAGCGUGGGGAGCGAACAGGAUUAGAUACCCUGGUAGUCC